rnacentral:rRNA from 1 species
UACGGGGGGGGCAAGCGUUGUUCGGAAUUACUGGGCGUAAAGGGCUCGUAGGCGGCCAACUAAGUCGGACGUGAAAUCCCCAGGCUCAACCUGGGAACUGCGUCCGAUACUGGAUGGCUUGAAUCCGGGAGAGGGAUGCAGAAUUCCAGGUGUAGCGGUGAAAUGCGUAGAUAUCUGGAGGAAUACCGGUGGCGAAGGCGGCAUCCUGGACCGGCAUUGACGCUGAGGAGCGAAAGCCAGGGGGAGCAA